GCCAGGGCAGCCCGGGCUGGACCAGGCCUCCAGGUGUUUGCAGUCGCAGCCCCUCCCGUGGGCGGCGGGCCUGGGGGCGGGGCAGGCCUGCGGCGCGUGUUCCGGCUCUGGGGUCACGAGUGCGCUGUGUGUCUGUAGACAAGUCACUUGGCCUCUCUGGACCACCUCGGGGGCGCAGCCUCCUAACUCGAUGGGAUGAAGAGGUGGUAGCAGAGACUUCCGAGCCCCGGAGGAGGGGGUGCGGGCCUGUACCCCCCCCUCCGACCCCGGGGGCGUGGAGCGAGAUCGUGACUCAGCCGCCCUGGGCACCCAGUUCAGGCUCUGCCGCGGGCUUCCCUCUGCCGUUUGCUCGCAGGAGCCCAGGUACCUGGGUCACCUCACCGAGGGCGCGACGGAGGCCGGGCUCCCAGCCCGCGGACCCAGAUGCCCUCUGACCCAUCUGACCUCGCCCUGAAGGUGGCCUAGGGCCGGGCCAGGGGUCUUGGGGUCCCCAGCAAGGCGGGAGAUCGGAGGGGCAGCAGAGAAGCCAUCCCCCGCCCCUGGGGAGGCCUUUCCGCAGGUUCGGCAGCCCCCCUCCCCGCCCCGCCCCGCCCCGCCCCCGCGGAAUGCUGAGUCCCUGCCCCCUGCCUGAGUUUCUCCCGAGGAGGAGGCUGGAAGUGCUCACCCGGUUUCAGUCGUCACACGCACAGCCUUGGCCGCACCCUUAGGCCUGGGCGGCCAGGGCCAGGGACACACAUGCGCACGCGCGCGCGCGCGCGCGCGCACACACACACACACACACACACACACACACACCAGGGCCAGGGAUAUGGGUGAACACGCGCACACACACAGCCAGAGCUGCUUCACACACACACCCCAGGGCCAGGGAUAAAUGUGCGCACACACACACACACCCAGAGCUGCUUCUCACAUCCAUCUGGGGAGGGCAGACCCACUGAGCUGUGCCAAGAAGGGAGGACAGGGUGUGUGGGGAGGGGUGGGGGUGGGGGGCAGCCCAGCGAUCCUGGGGUGGAGGGGAGUGGGGGAGAGGCCCGCGUCCCCGGUCAGCACUCUGCACUGAGGCUGUGGCCCGAGGCUGGGCCCAGGGCACCUCUCCCUGUGACCUCGUUGGUGUCAUUGCUCUCUUGGGCCUCAGUCUGUUCAAGGUGGGGCUCACUGGGUGACCUGGGGACCCUCAUGACCCAGAACCACCAGCUCCUCUGACAGUGUCGGCCGUCAUGGGAUUCGGUGAGCAUCAGCCCUUCGGGCGUGUACGCUGGAGACACGCUCGGCUCCAGACCACAGAGCAAACGGCAGGGCCAGGCAGGUGGAAAAUUCCCCCUGGCAUGCAGCCCAGGCUCUGCUUGCCGGGUGGGCCCCAGCCAGGUCUGGGGGACUGCAGGCAGCCUGGCAGCCACAGGGAGCUGGCCAGGGCCUCCCAGCUCAGCUGCCCCCACCCAAACUCCAGAAUCCUGUCUGCUCAGGCCGGCAGACGGGACAGGGAGCUGUGGGAAGCUUGUGGAGGUUUGUUGGGCCCUUGGAGCUUCUCGGCAGUUGCAGCCCUGGGUGGAGGUGGCUGUGCGAGCUCCUUGCCAUCCCCCGGCCAAGUGAGUGGUCCCGGGACCCUUGUGGUGGGCUGGGGGCUGCAGCUGUCUGCAUGGCCAGGCGGGCAGAGCUCUGGCAGGUGUCGUGGCGUGGAUGUCCCUGUGUCUGCUCCUGCUCACUGCCAGCCUCCACCUGGUGACCUUGGGCAGGCACUCCCUGGCUCAGGCCUCUCUGUGUUCCUCUGGGACUGUUGGGCUCUCCUCCUGGAAGGACACGAAGCCACGCCCACCAGACCUGGGAAGUACAAACUCUGCAGGCCUGCGGGACUUGGGGCUGGGGGGCAGGACACGUCCCAGGGUCCCUUGUGCUGGAAGCCAGGGUGGGGGCCCUUGUACCACUGCCUACUCCUGGCCGCCGUUUCUCCCGGCCUGUCUCCCUGAAGGCCCUUCCCAAAGCCUGGAGCUGCUUUCUGGAAUGUUUACCCACAAACAUUUUUAUGUCGCUGGUCGGUUCAGUGGGGCUUUUGGAGCCGAGGAAACCCCUUUGGCUUUUCCAGGUUUCGUGUGGCCAGCCGGUCCCUCACACUGCUCCCACUUGGAGGACCCGGGAGGGCCACCGUCCCGGGCGCAGUGGACUCACGCCCCACUGGAAGGCUACCCAGAGGGCAUGACCCACUGACCGCGCGUCACCGCCGACACGGGUGGGGAGCACGGUCCGUCUGGGCAGAGGAGGUGCUGGAGAUAAGACAGGGCAUGACCCCGACUCCAUGACAGCCAGCGAGCCUGCUCCAGGAACCCAACCGCCGUGACUCACGGCCCGCCAAUCAGGACGCCAGGCCGCCUGCCUUUCUAGUCAGGCACACCUGUAACCUGCCAGCCAUCUGUUGGGCCAUACCCUGCCCCAGCCGUUCCCGAGAGAAAUACAAACCUCUUUACACGGGUGCGUGUGGGAGCUCUGUGGCUCUGCCACAGGGGCAGCACGCACGGCCGUGUGCUGAGUACAGAGAGCAUAGACGCACACGAGCACACCUGCCCGGGGAGCCGUGCAUCCGCUCCUGCCCCCCCGCCAGGCUUGCCGCUAUCUCCCGCCCCUACCCCCAGUGGAGAUGACAGAAGAGGCCCAGCAGACGGCAGCGUCCAGGGGGCCAGGGAGCUCCUCGCCCUCAAAAGAGCAAACAAAGACACUUGAGCCUGCCUCGUCCCUGAAGUCCCUCGGGGAAUACUGCAGUGGGAAGGGACUGAGAGGUCCCUAGCAAAGCCACAGGUCAUAGGUGAGGGCCCUGCAUCCAGGGCAGCCUGGCCACACUCUGGCCUCAUGGGCCUACCCAGCUUGGAGGGCAGCCUGGCAGUGGUGGGCAGGCAGCCCCAGAGGGAGGCCCGGAGAAGGGCACUGUGCCCCGGGACCCGAGGGCUGGGAGGACCAUCAGGGUAGAGGGUGCAUGGGGAGAGUCGUCUGGGGGAUGUGGGCUCAUCCUGGAGGACCGUCGCGGAGGAGGGUGCGUGGGGAGAGAUGUCCGGGGGACGUGGACUCGCGCUGGAGGACCAUCAGGGGAAGGGGUGCGUGGGGAGAGACGUCGGGGGACGUGGGCUCAUCCUGGGGGACUGUCAGGGGAGGGGGUGCAUGGGGAGAGACGGGGGACGUGGGCUCGCGCUGGAGGACCAUCGGGAGGAGGUGCGUGGGGAGAGACGCCAGGGGACGUGGGCUCACCCUGGGGGGCGCAGAGGAGACCCACUUCGCCCUUCCUCACCCCCACAUGCAAUGUGCUUUUGCUGCGAGUCCUGACCUGGGGAAUGGCCUGGACUGAACCCAGCACAGCCCCGCACUGCCAGGCAGGACGUGGCAGUUGCAUCAGGUCGUUGGUGGCCGCGCUGGGGCUGGGGACCGGGUCAGCCGGGCGCCCACCUCCCUGAGUCAGUGUUCACGUCUGCAGCUUCAGCAAAGGACCUCCCCUCGGCUCCCAAGAUCAGGGGCUCAUUCCAGGCCGGUCUGCAGACCCACAGACUCAGACUGCUGGUUUGGACAGGAGAGAAAAAAGAGUGACAGGUGGGCACGGAGUACCCCGUCACCCUCCGAGGAUCCCCGGGUGCUGGACUCCUGGACGCAAGUCCCAAGGACCCCCACCUCUGGGUCACAGCCCAUUGCCAGACUGGCUGAAUGGGAGGCCCAGGGCCCUUCCACCUGGGGGUCCCAGGGGCUGCACUGCAUGGACGUGAGCAUCCAGGACCACUUGAGGGUGGCUCUUAGCGGGGCAGGGGACGAGGCCAGUGUGAAGGAGGAGAGACGUGGGCAUUUCUGAGGGACUCUCUUUGUCUCGGAGAUGCUGCUCAGUGGUGUGGUUGGAUGUCCAGGGCAAGCCUUCUAGGCAAGGCUUACCGCCAGGAGACCUGAGGGUCAGAAGGUAAAGGGACCUGGCCCUGGCCUACCCAGCCUGGACCACCCGGCGUCCGCAGUGAGGGUGGGACUCGGAGCAGCUGCUGGGUGCAGAGGGACCCUCGCACGGAAUCCAGCCGCCCCGCCUCAGUGCCAGCCUGUGUCUGCCGCUGCUCGGACAGGUGCCACGCCUCCCCGUCGGUUCCUCUGCGCGUUUUUCUGGGCUGAGCCUGGCUGGCGGCCCUGCCAGGACAUGACGGUAGGGAAGGACACGGCGGCAGGGGCGCCUGGCAGUGAAUGAUCUGCUUGUCCCCGCCCACCACCUGAGGCACGGAGGGAGGCGAGGCUGUGCCAGCGGCUGGGGGCGAGGGGCUGGGCCAUCUGGAGCACCCCCUCGUCUCCCACACUCACCCCCUAAGCAGAGGGGCUUCCUGCCGGCCCCCAGGCUGCAGCCAGACCCUGCCACAGCCACAGCCCACAGCUGGGGGCUUGGCUGUCCCCAGAGAUCUCACCCUGACCCUCCCCACUCACCCCAGAGCUCCAGGACCAGUUCCCGGGCUGCCAGGGGCCUCCAGGUGCCCCAGGGGGACAGCCUGACGGAGCUGUCUGCAGGGAAAGCUACAGACGUGCAGGGGGUCCCUGGGGGAAGGGGUGGGCGGGGCAGAACAGGGAACCGCCCCCCAUGGGCUUCCCAGGCGGCUCCAGCUUGCCCGCCCCACCUGGCCCCCCAGGCCUGGUCCUGAGAUUCUGGCAGCAGCUCUCUCCUCUUCUCUGCCCCGGCUGGGUGACCCUCCACUCCUCCCAGCAGCCUGGCUCUUCCUGGAAUCAGCCUGUCUCCCUGCCAGCUGCUGGCCUGCUGGACCGUGGCCCGCCUCCCAUCUGAGAACCAGCACCCUCUCUCGUCCUUAGUCUGUUCCUGGAGGAACCCCUGCGAAGGUUUGCCUCUAGGAAGCCUUCCUGACUCACCCAGGACCACCCGGUGGGCCUCCACAUCCCGCCCCAGCACCCCGCACCCCACAUACACCCGCCCGUUGCCAGGGCCCUGCUGCAACGCCCAGGCAACGGGCGGAGGCAUUGUCUUGCUGACCACGCCCCACUGGAGCCUGGCUGUGUUCAGUCUCCCCCAGUGGAUUUUCCUGGAGUCACAUUUCUAAUAAAGGAGCAACUUCCACAUC